UACAGAGGGUGCGAGCGUUAAUCGGAAUUACUGGGCGUAAAGCGCGCGUAGGCGGCUUUGCAAGUCGGGUGUGAAAUCCCCAGGCUUAACCUGGGAACUGCAUUCGAGACUGCAUUGCUAGAGUAUGGGAGAGGGAAGUGGAAUUUCAGGUGUAGCGGUGAAAUGCGUAGAUAUCUGAAGGAACAUCAGUGGCGAAAGCGGCUUCCUGGACCAAUACUGACGCUCAUGUGCGAAAGCGUGGGGAGCAAACAGG
rnacentral:rRNA from 1 species